UCUCCCUCUGAUGCCGAGCCGAAGCUGGACUGUACUGCUGCCAUCUCGGCUCACUGCAACCUCCCUGCCUGAUUCUCCUGCCUCAGCCUACCGAGUGCCUGCGACUGCAGGCGCGUGCCGCCACGCCUGACUGGUUUUCGUAUUUUUUUGGUGGAGACGGGGUUUCACCGUGUUGGCCGGGCUGGUCUCCAGCUCCUAACCGCGAGUGAUCUGCCAGCCUUGGCCUCCUGAGGUGCCGGGAUUGCAGAUGGAGUCUGGUUCACUCAGUGCUCAAUGGUGCCCAGGCUGGAGUGCAGUGGCGUGAUCUCGGCUGGCUACAACCUCCACCUCCCAGCCGCCUGCCUUGGCCUCCCAAAGUGCCGAGAUUGCAGCCUCUGCCCGGCCGCCACCCCGUCUGGGAAGUGAGGAGCGUCUCUGCCUGGCCGCCCAUCGUCUGGGAAGUGAGGAGCCCCUCUGCCUGGCUGCCCAGUCUGGAAAGUGAGGAGCAUCUCUGCCCGGCCGCCAUCCCAACUAGGAAGUGAGGAGCGCCUCUUCCCGGCCGCCAUCCCAUCUAGGAAGUGAGGAGCGUCUCUGCCCGGCCGCCCAUCGUCUGAGAUGUGGGGAGCGCCUCUGCCCCACCGCCCCAUCUGGGAUGUGAGGAGUGCCUCUACCCGGCCGCGACCCCGUCUGGGAGGUGAGGAGUGUCUCUGCCCGGCCGCCCUGUCUGAGAAGUGAGGAGACCCUCCACCUGGCAACCGCCCAGUCUGAGAAGUGAGGAGCCCCUCUGCCCGGCAGCCGCCCCGUCUGAGAAGUGAGGAGCCCCUCCGCCCGGCAGCCACCCCAUCUGGGAAGUGAGGAGCGUCUCCACCCAGCUGCCACCCCGUCCGGGAGGGAGGUGGGCAUAUCAAUCACAGUGGUCCAAUGAGCCUUGAGCCAGAACUUCUGCUGGGAUUACUGGAAAAAAAGCUCAUUUAUUGCCAGAGUUCCUGCAAGCUUGGAGCUGCUAGAGGCCAUCUUUGCAACCUCGUGGGGAGAUCUUUCGGGAAAAUGAAACCAUCACAAAGGCAAGCAGAGUCUAGAGACUGAAACAGAUUUCUGUCAACAUCCUAUGGGCCCUUGCUCCCAGCCAUGCCUGAAGUUGGCUGUACCUCCGGGACCUAGACAUUUUAGUUACUCAAAAUAAUAAAUUCUCUUGUGUCCGAAA